rnacentral:SRP_RNA from 1 species
GCCGGGUGUGGUGGCGCUCGCCUGUAGUCCCAGCUACUUAGGAGGCUGAGGCAGGAGAAUCGCUUGAACCCAGGAGACCGAGGUUGCAGUGAGCUGAGAUCAUGCCACUGCACUCCAGCCUGGGUGACAGAGCAAGACUGUCUCCA